rnacentral:pre_miRNA from 1 species
UUUGAGGGGAAUGUUGUCUGGCUCGAGGACUCUGGCUUUCUCUAUUCAUGUUGGAUCUUCUUCGAUCUAAUUGAAUCGAACCUCCAGGUUUGAGAUCAGGUUUGAGAUCUGAUUAGGGUUUUAGCGUCGUCGGACCAGGCUUCAUUCCCCCCAAU